rnacentral:rRNA from 1 species
CCUACGGGAGGCAGCAGUGGGGAAUUGUUCGCAAUGGGCGCAAGCCUGACGACGCAACGCCGCGUGGAGGAUGAAGACCUUCGGGUCGUAAACUCCUUUCGAUCGAGACGAAUGUUUUCCGGGUGAACAAUCCGGAAAAGUGACGGUACCGAGAGAAGAAGCCCCGGCUAACUCUGUGCCAGCAGCCGCGGUAAUACAGGGGGGGCAAGCGUUGUUCGGAAUUACUGGGCGUAAAGGGCUUGUAGGUGGCCAACUAAGUCAGACGUGAAAUCCCUCAGCUUAACUGGGGAACUGCGUCUGAUACUGGAUGGCUUGAGUUUGGGAGAGGGAUGCGGAAUUCCAGGUGUAGCGGUGAAAUGCGUAGAUAUCUGGAGGAACACCGGUGGCGAAGGCGGCAUCCUGGACCAACACUGACACUGAGGAGCGAAAGCCAGGGGAGCAAACGGGAUUAGAUACCCCGGUAGUCCUGGCCCUAAACGAUGAAUGCUUGGUGUGGCGGGUAUCGAUCCCUGCCGUGCCGAAGCUAACGCAUUAAGCAUUCCGCCUGGGGAUACGGUCGCAAGGCUGAAACCUCAAAAGUGUAGUACGGCGUGAGACGUGCGACGAGACACGAGGGAGGUUAGG